ensembl:lncRNA
UCUGGGGUGGGCUGUCAUUGGGAGUACCAUAGGGUGGUGCACAGUGUUGUCUGGGGUGGACUGUCAUUGGGAGUACCGUAGGGUGUUGUCUGGGGUGGGCUGUCAUUGGGAGUACCAUAGGGUGGUGGUGUUGUCUGGGGUGGGCUGUCAUUGGGAGUACCAUAGGGUGUUGUCUGGGGUGGGCUGUCAUUGGGAGUACCAUAGGGUUGUUGUCUGGGGGGGCUGUCAUUGGGAGUACCAUAGGGUGGUGCACAGUGUUGUCUGGGGUGGGCUGUCAUUGGGAG